rnacentral:rRNA from 1 species
UAGCAAGGCGGCAGCUACCAUGCAGUCGUACGAGAAGGUUCUUUCGGGAACUGGAGAGUGGCGCACGGGUGAGUAACGCGUGGGGACCUACCUCUUAGUGGGGGAUAACGGUUGGAAACGACCGCUAAUACCGCAUACGCCCUUCGGGGGAAAGAUUUAUCGCUAAGAGAUGGACCCGCGUUGGAUUAGAUAGUUGGUGAGGUAACGGCUCACCAAGUCAGCGAUCCAUAGCUGGUUUGAGAGGAUGAUCAGCCACACUGGGACUGAGACACGGCCCAGACUCCUACGGGAGGCAGCAGUGGGGAAUAUUGGACAAUGGGCGCAAGCCUGAUCCAGCCAUGCCGCGUGAGUGAAGAAGGCCUUCGGGUUGUAAAGCUCUUUCAGAUGCGAAGAUGAUGACGGUAACAUCAGAAGAAGCCCCGGCUAAUUUCGUGCCAGCAGCCGCGGUAAUACGAAAGGGGCAAGCGUUGUUCGGAUUUACUGGGCGUAAAGGGCACGCAGGCGGUCCUGCCAGUCUU